AAAAGGAGGCCGAAAGCGGCGAUCUGUCUCAGUAACGGGUCUAGCCCGUGCUGACGCGCGAUUCGUGACGGCACAGUCACUCCCCUUCUUCAAAAUUCCGCGUGACGUUAAUAGUGCGACGGCAUCUCGAACGAGAAAGAUUUAAGAAAAAUAAAUAAAUAAAUGCGUAUAGAAAGUGCUGGCGUGGCGUUUACAGAAGUUUUUAGUUUAAAAAGAAAGAAGAAGAAAAAAAAACUAGGUCGAUGACUAGUUUGACGAGUGCUACGUCACGAUUAGGAAUGCAUACGUUUAAAACGUUCAUAGGUGAACGAGUUACAGGACGGUGUCCCUAAAAACAAAACGGUGCGAAGUAGAUCAGGGCAUACCAGUGCUUCUGUUUCCAUACUAAUUAGGUCAUAGCCGAAAGAAAUUCAAACUCAGGUAGAUGACUCAAGCAUCUUAAAAUGAGCACUUUCCGCCACUCUCACCGCAACCACACACUACACACACAUCCCCCCUAUUCUGUAUCUAAAUAUAGAGCCUCCCGAGUAGUAGUGGUAGUAAUAGUAAUGGUGUGCGCACCCGCUCCUUGUAUGUUCACGACAUGUGGCAUAGCUUAGGAAGAGGGAAUCGUGUUUACUCAGACGAGCGAGUGAAGGAAAUGCACACGGAUCGAUCACGCGUGACUUUUCUGGAAGGUUCCGAAAAUCCGCUUUUCAAUGGAUCAAAUAAUUACUUACCCCUUGGUUGGACUGGAAUUGGAUCGUAGGUUUUGGCGAAGAACUGACCUGGAAAAAAAGAAAAAAAAAAUUAUUAUUAAGAAUAAACUCUACGUCAGAACUGCACCGGAGACACCUGUUUAGAUCGUUAGUAAUUGCAUGAGUAGAGAGGAGUGUAAAAAAAUAUAAAUAUAUUUUUAAUCUGUUGUGAAACUCUAUUUGAGAAAAGUAGGACAAAUUCUGAUAGAACAAAGUGGAGAAAAAAAAAUUAUUUCCAACCUGUCACCACCAGGAACAGUCCGACAACCAACCCAUUGACAAAACUAUCUAAAGCUUCUACCAUGCGGAACAAAAAUGCUUCCAUAAAGCUUAAUUAUAGCUCAAUUUUAACUAAACCGCAUAAUUGCGAAAAAAAAGGAAGAAACGAACGUUCGACUUUCUUUUUAUUUUUAUUUCUACGCCGAAAUUGCUAGUUUCUAGUGAAACUAAAAAAUCUGAUAAGGUAUUCCUUCCACAAUAAAAAAAAGGGAAACUUCUCUCAGGGUCGUUCGGUAAAGAUGUUUAACGUUCACACGUUCUACUGUCAUUAUAAAAGAAUUAGAAUGCCGAAAAAGUAAAAAUCUGAAAUUCCGUUUCCGAUUUCGACUUUUACACAGAAACUUUUAAUUCUUUUCCGGGAAAGAAACUGUUGAAAAAUGUAUCGAGCGUAAAGAUAUCCGAACUUUAAGGUCUAUCAAUACUUCGUGUAAACAAUUUUAAAAUUCCAUUUUUGUUCCAGGAAUGUUUGUUUUUCGACUAGAAAAUGGUUGCUCUCUUUUAAAAAGAAAGCUGUAAAAAUGUAUUUUUUGAAAGAUACGGAAAAUUCUGUAAGUGAUACAACGCUUUUUCUUCUGAUCCAUUUCAGAAAGAAGCUGUAGAUCUGAAGAGAAAAGAAAAAAAUAGAUCCUAAUAAUGGUACAUUUUCGCAUUCAAUUCCGUCAGAAACGAAGGAAGAAAGCUGCCACUUUCAUAAAAAAAUAAACAAGGUAGAUGCCACAUACGACGUCUUUCACGAAACGAAUUAAAUAUUACCGCUCUAUUCCCCUGCAAAGUACGGGUUGUAACAAUUUUUACGUCCUCGAUUUUUUUUUUUUUUAAAUUUCAAGACGGCAAUUUUCUACUUUGAAAUUCCUGCCAGAAAGGGCAGUCCGAUUGGAGAUGUUAAAGCGGUAGAAAGUGGUUAUCAACCAGACCAACGGGUUUCACCACCUGUGCAUGUGGGCCAGUAAGAAGUAAACCAGUUUUCGGAAUCGUUUACCCAUCUAUCCGAGCAGCUGUACGGUUUAUGAAUGGUCAAAACCAACUUUCUCCUUUCGGGGGAACGUAUUUCGUUCGCUUUCCCCCUCUCCAAACAAUCAUAAAAAUCAUUUUUAAAACUUCGAACUUAAAAAAAAUGGCACGCAAUUCGAUCCAAAGUAACGACAAAGACAUUAAAUAACCCAUUUUUCGAAAUUGGCUACGGAUCGAACGCGAUCGAUGUUAUAGAUUUUAUAUCGAUCUCGCGUGGGCAAUCUCGCUUCUCGCAAAUAGUCGUAAUCGUAAUGGUUUAUAUAUAUAUAUAUAUAUAUAUAUUAAAUAUUUCGAGACUGACUUGCUUUCACGCUCUCUUUACUACCAAACAGCGAGAAAAAUACAAAAAAAAAUUACACAUUAAAAACUUCCCCAUGCCUAAUUGGAAUGAGGAUAAUCGAAAAAUACCGUAAACGCCUAUUAACGUAGCAUUUCUUUUUUACUUCAACCGUGUAAUCAACACUUCUAAAGAUUGCAUCUUGAUCUAUGUCUACGAAAGGGGGGACAGAGUAUUAUGUCACUAAUUGCCAUUCAGACGUAUCGUAUAUCGUCGCGACUCGAGUCGAGAUGUCUGACGACACUUUUUCCUUAGAAAUAAACAAAAUUACAACCGAUAGGCGAAACUAUCUGCGGCCAUUAAUUAAACUUAGAUUAAUCGGUGGCACUACAAUGGCUGCUUUGAUGACGUCGGUCGCGAACGUCAUCACCUUACGCAAACUUAUGCAACGACAAAGAUAAACAACGGCGAGCUUCUUGUACGUAGAGAGGGGGGGUCAGAUGCGACUCAAGGACGAAUUAUCCGUGCAUAGAUUUCUAUGACAAUCGGCACGUAGUAGUGUUAGUUUGUGCACGCUUAUGUAACAGGGAGCCAACAGCUCAGAGUUAUGACCCAAUUUUAAUGAUUUAGGAUGUUGUGACAUCGGAAACGACGGUUUAUCAAAAAAUUGAACUAUAACCUAAUUUCUGCACAGGGGGUCGGAAUUCUAACGAGACUAGAGCAUUUUUUAAAUAUCCAAGUAUUGGGGCAAAAACUUGAAAUCUCGCGCGUUUAACCUGUGCGCGUUUCGAUGCGUACGGUUAAGGUGAUUCACAAAUCACCGUAUAGUGUAUGUACACGCUAUUAUUUAUAAACUAGCCGACCUUGAAAAGAACGAG